CCUACGGGAGGCAGCAGUGAGGAAUAUUGGUCAAUGGACGAGAGCCUGAACCAGCCAAGCAGCGUGAAGGAUGACUGCCCUAUGGGUUGUAACCUUCUUUUGACAGGGCAGAGUAGAAGACGGUACCUGUCGAAUAAGCCACGGCUAACUACGUGCCAGCAGCCGCGGUAAUACGUAGGUGGCAAGCGUUGUCCGGAUUUACUGGGUGUAAAGGGCGUGUAGCCGGGUUGACAAGUCAGAUGUGAAAACCUGCGGCUUAACCUCAGAACUGCAUUUGAAACUGUUGUUCUUGAGUACUGGAGAGGCAGACGGAAUUCCUAGUGUAGCGGUGAAAUGCGUAGAUAUUAGGAGGAACACCAGUGGCGAAGGCGGUCUGCUGGACAGCAACUGACGGUGAGGCGCGAAAGCGUGGGGAGCAAACAGGAUUAGAUACCCCGGUAGUC
rnacentral:rRNA from 1 species